rnacentral:snRNA from 1 species
GUGCUCACUUCCGUAGCACAUAUACUAAAUGGAAUGAUACAGAGAUUAGCAUGGUCCCUGCACAAAAAUGACGUGCAAAUUAGUGAAGCAUUGCAUAUUUUA